CAAGGCCAAAGCCCAGAGAGUGGGGGGGAGGGGCAGGCAAGAGUUACUACCCCUUAAGGCAGCCUUGUGCCCUCACCCCUUGUGAGGAUUCCAGGAGCAGUUGUCCUUCAUUUAUGAUACUGAUGAUGAUGACAGCUGCUACCUACUAAGGAUUACCAUAUAUCAUCCAUUUAAUAUAUACCUAUUUUCUGAAAUAAGGGUGCAUCUUACAAUUAUUGGGGUUUCAGGUUCAACAAAAUAAGGUUUGUGCCAGGUUAGUGUGAUUUAUUGCAUUUAAUUUCUCAUUACAUCUCACAGCCCAGUGAGGUCAGUAUUACUGUCCUGUCUUACAGAUGAAGGAAGUGAAGCUCAGAAAUGUUAAGUAACUUGCUCAAAUUCACAUGGCCAGGAAGUGGCAGGCCCAAAUUCAGACCUGGGUCUCUCGAACUCAGAGCCCAUGCCCUUAGCUACCACGCUAUGCCAGUUUCCAUCCAUUUGGACAAUUCAGCCUUAUCCUGGGUUGGAAAUCCCCAUGACAUUGAUUGAAGUCAGGGUCUUCUAUCCUGGAUGACCUCAGGAAAGUCAUUUAGCUUCCCUAAUACUGCAUUAUUAUGAGUAUGAAAUAUAUAUAAAUAAAACUUACAUUAGUUGAAAAAAGAAUAAAAUGAACACUCAUGAACUUGUGACCCAGCUUAAAUAAUAAAACUUUAGUUUCUUAUCUGUAUAAUGGAAUUUUAGACUGGAGCCUGUUUAUCCAAAGGGAACCUCUCUAAUUCCUGGAAUUAAAGGACAGUGAUAGCUCUGGUGUUGACUUUUUUCCCCACAUCCAGAAUACCUCUUCAGAGAGAGCUAAUUGUCAGCAAGGCUUCUUCUCUCUCUCUCUCUCACUCUCUCUGCUGACACAUGGUACCAGUCAGCCACAAAACUUGCCCAGCAGGUGAGCCCAGGCCUGCUGGUGCAGUGAGAGACUGGUUUGCUACCCUAGAAGGGAAACUGGCCUUACCCCACCCAUAUCCUGCUCCCUGAUAGAAACGGUGGGGUUUCCAGUUUCCAAAACAAUGCUCCCCUUCUGGCUCUGAUUCAGUGAGGUCAUCCAUUGAGCUCCUACCUCUCUUUAUGAGACACUGAGGAGGGAGGGGCAAGAGCUGCAGUCUUUAUGAUGAAGCAUGAAGCAGUAUGGGACAGACUUGGUGCUGGAGGAGUUCAGAGAAAGAAGGAACCUCCGGGCAUCUGCAGUUGUUUCACCGAGGAGACAGGCGUUGUAGAGGAGAGGUGGAGAGUUUGGGGCAGCUCUGUGCUAAGCACUGGAUAUGUAUGCCACUCAGUCUUCACAGAAGCCUAAGAGAUCUGGAGUUCCAAUUGAACAGAACAAAAUGAGCUAAGUGACAGCACUGUGAGGUUAGUAAUCACCUGAAAACUCCCCUUUCUUUAAAAAAAAAAGAAAAAAAAAAAACCAGUAAAACUCCAUCAUGAAAGCUUAAAUUGUUUUGGCACAGAUCAGUUCUCUGCCAUGUGCAUAAUGGAGGUCUUAGUACUCUUGUUGUGUGACAGGAAAGGAUGGUGGGAGGAGGCACAUGGCAUAGAAAGCCUCAAUUCUUAUCUCUGCCACUUGAGGCCUUCAUUUCAUCAUCUGUAAAUUGGGACUGUUAAUACCCACCUCAGAGGGUGGAUGUGAAGCACUCCAAAACUGAAAGCUGAUACUGUUUUCCACCCCUGGAAGGCAUUUAAAGCCUGAAAAAGAGUUUCAAAUCCCUGGAGGGCAGCCUGAGGUUAGGGAAAGCCAUCAUGGCCACAGCUCUGGGAUGAGGAAUCAGCCAGGAUUCCGGCACCUAACCCAGAGGAGCCCUGCACUGACAGAUAAUCAGGUGCCACCAAGUGUCCCAAAGGCAUAGGAGACUUAGGUGUGGAGUCUGAAGAACUGGGUCUUGGUUACCAGUCUGCCCUGGAGGCCUUGGGACCACAUGCAACAUUACUUACCUCUGAGUCAGUGCCUUUAACAGCCCCUUUUGUUAAAUUCCCACUAUGUGUACAUGUUACAUGCACCACACAUUGAUACCUCUAACCUUAACACUGUUGUAUCUCAGAACUGCAGGCCCAGGCCUACAAGGAAUCACCCAGGUUCCUAUUUAUAAGGCAGAAUUCUGGGCCACCACCUAGACCUGCAGAAUCAAAUGAGGGGGGUGGGGAGGCAGGCAUCUGCAUUAUCUCCUCCUGUGGUUCUCUGCAAAGAGGGUGGUUUUAUCCUUAUUUUAUAAAUAGACUGAAGCCCAAAAUAACUUACCCAAGACUGCACAAUAGAUAAAAAGUAGGGAUUCCACCCAGGUCUGCAUGACUCCAGAGAUUUUGAUCUUAAGAGGAUGCUUGUGGCUGGCCAGGUGGUUAGGAAGGAGAACAGUACAAGACCCCUUAUGACAAAGGUAGGGGCAGGGCUUGGGGGGUAGUUGUCAGAGCCUGGGUGCCUGCUGAGUAGCAAGCUGAAGAAGCAGCAAGGGAUAUGUUUACAGGUCAUGCCAGUGGGAGAUCAGGGACCUACUUUUUCUCUUUUUUUUUUUGAGAAAGAGAGAGAGUGCAGUAGCGCAGGUGGGAGGAAGGCAGAGGGAGAAGCAGUCUCCCUACUUCUAGGGAGUAGGGAGCCUGCUGCGGGGCUCAAUCCCAGGACCCCUGGAAUGUGACUCGAGCUGAAGGCAGACGCUUAAUCAACUGAGCCACCCAGGCGCCCCAGGGACCUACUCUUUUUAAAGGUGCUUUUAAUAGAUAAGAAAAAAAUACAAAGUAGUAUGUGUUCAUUUUAGGGGGGAAAAACCUUUUAGAUUUAGACGCAUCGAAAUAUGUUCAUUUUAGGGGGAGAAAAAAAAAACAGGAAAAUUACUCCCUGACCUCAUUACCUAGAGGUAACUUUUGUUAGUAUUUUUGUGGCUAUGUUACGCACCUUUUCUCUAUGUGUAUAAGGAUCUGUGAGCGUAUUUUUUAAUGGAAUCACAUUGCUAAUACACUUUUUUUUGCAUAUACUUUUUAAAAAAACUAUAUUUAUAGUUUUCUUAGUAAUAGCUUUCACAUGUACAUUUUUUUUUAAUGCUGCCUAUACCAAAUAUGAGUGUUUAGAGCAGUGAUUGCUAAACUUAGCAGGCAUUAGAAUCACCUAGAGCAGGGAUUAGUAGACUUUUUCUAUAUAGGGCCAGAUCACAAAUACUUUAGUCUGUUGGAACUACUCAGCUCUGCUGUCGUUGCAGGAAAGCAGCAUGGGCAAUAUGUAAACAAAUGGCAAUGGCUGUGCUCCAAAAUGUAAUUUCCCAAAACAGGCAGUAAGCUGGAUUUGGUCCACACACCAUAGUUUGCCAACCCUAGUUUAGAAAAAGGGUCCAUGAAUAUUUUAUUGAGCCCAGACUAUACUCGAAGUAGUUGGCAGACAUAAGAAAGGAAAACAAAGAUCCCUGCCCUCAGGGAGCUCACAUUCCAGUUCUUCUAUGAGUAGACAAUAAGCACACUAAGUCUUAUGAUGUGACAUAUUUGAAAAUUGAUAAAUAGAAUGGAAAAAAAGAACAAGGAGAGCAGAGUGAGGGGAGUGGGUUGUAGUUUAUUUAUUUAAUAUUUUAUUUAUUUAUUAAUGAGAGACACAGAGGGGGGUGGGCAGAGACACAGGCAGAGGGAGAAGC